ACAGAGGGCCGGCCGCUGGCAACAUCGGUCCAAUCCUUAAAGUCAUCCUCAGUUCGGACUGGGGUCUGCAACCCGACCCCACGAAGCUGGAUUCGCUAGUAAUCGCGCAUCAGCCAUGGCGCGGUGAAUACGUUCCCGGGCCUUGUACACACCGCCCGUCAAGCCAUGAAAGCCGGGGGGCGCCUGAAGUCCGUGACCGCGAGGGUCGGCCUAGGGUGAAACCGGUGAUUGGGGCUAAGUCGUAACAAGGUAGC
rnacentral:rRNA from 1 species